rnacentral:rRNA from 1 species
GAGUUUGAUCAUGGCUCAGNAUGAACGCUAGCGGCAGGCCUAAUACAUGCAAGGCGAAGGGGCAGCAAUGUCACUGUCGUACGGGUGCGUAACACGUAUGCAACCUACCUAUCACAGGGGGAUAGCCUCUGGAAACAGGGAUUAAUACCGCAUAAAGCAGNGACACCGCAUGGUGAUAUUGCUAAAGAUUUAUCGGUGAUAGAUGGGCAUGCGUCUGAUU